GUUCCCAUCGAUUAGUGGUCAGAUCAUCACGUUGUGGUCUCAGUAAUGUACUGUGCGAAACCGUGGAGACGGGGGCUCGAAUCCCCCUGGGAACA
rfam:Daedalea quercina L-15889 unplaced genomic scaffold DAEQTscaffold_21, whole genome shotgun sequence.